rnacentral:rRNA from 1 species
GGCGUUAAGUUGCAGGGUAUAGACCCGAAACCCGGUGAUCUAGCCAUGGGCAGGUUGAAGGUUGGGUAACACUAACUGGAGGACCGAACCGACUAAUGUUGAAAAAUUAGCGGAUGACCUGUGGCUGGGGGUGAAAGGCCAAUCAAACCGGGAGAUAGCUGGUUCUCCCCGAAAGCUAUUUAGGUAGCGCCUCGUGAAUUCAUCUCCGGGGGUAGAGCACUGUUUCGGCUAGGGGGCCAUCCCGGCUUACCAACCCGAUGCAAACUGCGAAUACCGGAGAAUGUUAUCACGGGAGACACACGGCGGGUGCUAACGUCCGUCGUGAAGAGGGAAACAACCCAGACCGCCAGCUAAGGUCCCAAAGUCAUGGUUAAGUGGGAAACGAUGUGGGAAGGCCCAGACAGCCAGGAUGUUGGCUUAGAAGCAGCCAUCAUUUAAAGAAAGCGUAAUAGCUCACUGGUCGAGUCGGCCUGCGCGGAAGAUGUAACGGGGCUAAACCAUGCACCGAAGCUGCGGCAGCGAACGUAUCACCCAAGACAACUUUACGGAGUUGACGAUUGACGGAGCGAAGCGACGUCAAAGCGUUCA